UACGUAGGGUGCGAGCGUUAAUCGGAAUUACUGGGCGUAAAGUGUGCGCAGGCGGCCGAGCAAGUCGAGUGUGAAAGCCCCGGGCUUAACUUGGGAAUUGCGCUCGAAACUACUUGGCUGGAGUGUGGCAGAGGAAGGUGGAAUUCCAGGUGUAGCGGUGAAAUGCGUAGAGAUCUGGAGGAACACCGAUGGCGAGGGCAGCCUUCUGGGCCAACACUGACGCUCAUGCACGAAAGCGUGGGGAGCAAACAGG
rnacentral:rRNA from 1 species